GACAGUUGGCCUUCACCCAAAACGCUCUUACCACGUGCUGUUGUGUCUCCACCUUCUGGCUGCAUACGCAUAGCAUGUCAGGACUAAGAUCCUGAAUGGGAUAUAAGGUCUAACAGGUAGCCAAUGAAGAGAGACCAGGAGAGAAGAUACAUGUCAUCGGGGGACCUGCAAACAACUUAUGCUGCAGAUUUCUGUAAGAACUGGACAGAUUUGGUGUGGGAAGUCAAAAACCCAGUCAGCAGGGACUGGAGUCUAGAGAUGAUCAUAGCCUGGACCAACAGAUGGGCUGACAGUUUCAUGAGAUUGAAUUGGAAUUGACUGUCUGCCACCCAGACCAAGAUACCGGAAAGAAAGUUUAUUGCAGAAGACGAGGCAGAGCUCUGGAUCAUCAGUGUAUUGGCAUCAUGAGAAGCUGUGAAGUGAGUUGAUGUCUAAGAAGAGUGCAUUCAAAGUGUCAAAGCAAAUAUUAUAGCCACGGCACAACUCAGAGAUGAAGAAAAUUAACUUGAUGAUGUCAGCCUCCUUCUCCUUGAUGAAGAGACGAAACUAUAUACAAUAAGAGAAGAUGAAGGUGUUUGAGGGGUAAGAAAAGAAGGUGGAGAAGA